rnacentral:rRNA from 1 species
UACGUAGGAUCCAAGCGUUAUCCGGAUUUAUUGGGUUUAAAGGGUGCGUAGGCGGCUUAUUAAGUCAGUGGUGAAAGCCUGGAGCUUAACUCCAGAACUGCCAUUGAUACUGAUGAGCUUGAGUAUAGUUGAGGUGGGCGGAAUGUGUCAUGUAGCGGUGAAAUGCUUAGAUAUGACACAGAACACCGAUUGCGAAGGCAGCUCGCUAAACUAUAACUGACGCUGAGGCACGAAAGCGUGGGUAGCAAACAGG